rnacentral:lncRNA from 1 species
ACUAGAAAAGCAGAUUUAUUUUUCAUUGCAAUACCAAAGCUAACAUUUGUCCAUGUAUCACAAGUGUCAGCUUUUCUCCUGCUCUCUUCUCCAUUCGUAGAACUCUUGCAUGAGCUAAAUUAUCCUUAUUUUCAAAUUUGUUUUUUGCAUAAGCUUUAUCUGGUCACAAUAGAUUCAGAGAAGAAUUUUGAAUUUAAAAGGUAUUCCAGAAGAAAGAGACAACUGAAGGAACACCUGGACAAAAUAUACUUCUGGAAUGAGCAUCAAUGUUCCAGAACUCCCCUGUAUGGCAGAGACCUGUUGGAAACUUGCCCUUGGAUCAGGGAAAGAAAAAACUCUCAGCAUUGUUCUGCCAGGAUUAACAAGUGGUGCUGGGCUGGCUUUGCAAAUUGCCUUCCAUGCUCCAGCACCUCAGAGGCUAGACCUCUGUGUGUUUUCCCAGCUGUAGCUGUUGCUCCUCCCUGUUUGUAUGGAGCAAAUCCUUCUUACCCACGGACCCAUGGAAUGCAACCCCUGCAGUUCAGUCUGGAGGAGCAGAGGUGGUGCAGGAAUUUAUAA